GAUAAUUUACACGUACGGCACAUUCGUACUCUCAUACUUUUCCCCGGUAAAAUUCACACAGCACAUCAUGCUGCAUCGCACGCACGCAUGCAGCUGAGCAUCAACAGCCGACGGCGGCGGACGGGCAAUCAACGGCCAGCUCACAGGCUGGGCACCCUCUCGGCGGCGCCGGAGAUGACGGUGAGCAGGUUGUUGCCGAAGGGGUCGCUGAGGUGGGCGCACAGGUUCUCGAAGGGCCCCUCGCCGGUGACGUAGGCCUGGAUGAAGAAGCCCAGCAUGGAGAACAUGGCCAGCCGUCCGUUCUUGAUCUCCUUCACCUUGAGCAGCGCCGCCUGGUCGGGGUCGGUGGCGAGGCCGAGCGGGUCGAACGGGCCGCCUGGGUGGAGCUUGUCAUCGAAUUCCUGCCGGAGAAGUUGACGAAACCGUUGGUCAGUACAAGGACGUACGCCUGGCUGCCGUAACGCAC
rnacentral:lncRNA from 1 species